UACAGAGGUCUCAACCGUUGUUCGGAUUUAUUGGGCGUAAAGGGUGUGUAGGUGGCGCCGUAAGUCGGGUGUGAAAUUUCGGAGCUUAACUCCGAAACUGCAUUCGAUACUGCGGUGCUUGAGGACUGGAGAGGAGACUGGAAUUCAUGGUGUAGCAGUGAAAUGCGUAGAGAUCGUAAGGAAGACCAGUGGCGAAGGCGGGUCUCUGGACAGUUCCUGACACUGGAGGCACGAAGGCCAGGGGAGCAAACGGG
rnacentral:rRNA from 1 species